GACGAACGCUGGCGGCGUGCUUAACACAUGCAAGUCGAACGAAGAGCGAUGGAAGCUUGCUUCUAUCAAUCUUAGUGGCGAACGGGUGAGUAACGCGUAAUCAACCUGCCCUUCAGAGGGGGACAACAGUUGGAAACGACUGCUAAUACCGCAUACGAUCUAACCUCGGCAUCGAGGAUAGAUGAAAGGUGGCCUCUACAUGUAAGCUAUCACUGAAGGAGGGGAUUGCGUCUGAUUAGCUAGUUGGAGGGGUAACGGCCCACCAAGGCGAUGAUCAGUAGCCGGUCUGAGAGGAUGAACGGCCACAUUGGGACUGAGACACGGCCCAGACUCCUACGGGAGGCAGCAGUGGGGAAUCUUCCGCAAUGGACGCAAGUCUGACGGAGCAACGCCGCGUGAGUGAUGACGGCCUUCGGGUUGUAAAGCUCUGUUAAUCGGGACGAAAGGCCUUCUUGCGAAUAGUGAGAAGGAUUGACGGUACCGGAAUAGAAAGCCACGGCUAACUACGUG
rnacentral:rRNA from 1 species